GACACACAGGACCUGGUGCUGGAUGG
rnacentral:piRNA from 1 species